GAUGAACGCUGGCGGCGUGCCUAAUACAUGCAAGUCGAGCGAACGGACGAGAAGCUUGCUUCUCUGAUGUUAGCGGCGGACGGGUGAGUAACACGUGGAUAACCUACCUAUAAGACUGGGAUAACUUCGGGAAACCGGAGCUAAUACCGGAUGAUAUUUUGAACCGCAUGGUUCAAAAGUGAAAGACGGUCUUGCUGUCACUUAUAGAUGGAUCCGCGCUGCAUUAGCUAGUUGGUAAGGUAACGGCUUACCAAGGCAACGAUGCAUAGUCGACCUGAGAGGGUGAUCGGCCACACUGGAACUGAGACACGGUCCAGACUCCUACGGGAGGCAGCAGUAGGGAAUCUUCCGCAAUGGGCGAAAGCCUGACGGAGCAACGCCGCGUGAGUGAUGAAGGUCUUCGGAUCGUAAAACUCUGUUAUUAGGGAAGAACAUAUGUGUAAGUAACUGUGCACAUCUUGACGGUACCUAAUCAGAAAGCCACGGCUAACUACGUG
rnacentral:rRNA from 1 species